CUGGGCUCGAGCGCGGUCCCCCGGACUGACGGCCAGCCGACCCUGCGGACAGACGGGCCACAAAGCAUGUCGCCCUGCGCCUGCUGAACCGCGAGCGCCCGAGGAUGUCAGCGCUGAGGAAGGUCUGUAUGAGCUGUUGGCUGUUGUGCCAGGCCGGCUGGGGCCACGUGUGGACAGCCAGGAAGACCUGACCUUCCUCUGGGAUAUGUUUGGUGAGAAAAGCCUGCAUUCACCGGUAAAGAAGUUACUCGUCGAGCACCAUUUUCCUUUAGAUCUUCACAAUAUCCUGGGUAGCCUUAGGUUGUGAGGUGGAAGUCUCUACUCUUCUGUGGCUGCUGUGGCCAAGACUUCCAAUACUGUGUUAGCAUCCUCGCCUUGUUCCUGAUGUUAAGCAGGAAGCUUUUCCCUGUUGAGCAUGAUGCUAGCUGUGCACUGGUCAUACGUGGCCUUACAUUUUGAGAUUUUAUUUAUUUAGUCGUGAGAGAGGCAGACACACAGGCAGAGGGAGAAGCAGGCUCCAAGCAGGGAGCCCAACAAGGGACUUGAUCCCAGGACCUCGACCCAGGCCACCUGCGUCUUCUUGAAUGGCAUUUUUAGUAAGCAAAGAAUGCUAGUAGUGCUAAGUUGCCAGUGGAAACUGCCCAUGGGCCACAUGAGAGACCACGGAUCCUGUAAUGCUGGGAGGCAUAAAGCUGGCACAGAAGUGCUGCAGAGAGGCUGUCACCAGUUAGAGGGAAGGAGCCAGAGAAGCAAGAGGUGUGGCAACAGCCAAGGGUCUUCAAAGGUAGAUGGACUGUGCACUCCCUUCCUGAAUGGGAGACCAGCACAGAGACCUUGGGGGCACGCCCUGCCCAGCCCUGCCCAGCCUCGCCCAGGCUCCAGCCGGAGGCUCCGCCCCAGGCCAUGGCCUUCCACUUGCUCACGUGACCAUGCCACAGGCAUGCAGAGAGGCAGGCUGAGCUCUGCCAGGCCAGCAGGGUCCGUGCCAGGCCUGGUGGACUUCGAGGACAAGGAGCAGGUGAAGGCCUUUCUGGAGAACGUGGUGGAGUGCAAGUACCAGUGCUACUGUGAGAAGGACCCGAAUGGACAGAAAGUUAUCUAAGCUCAAUAGUUCUGAGAAAUGUCUUCAUCUAGGAGCAUUCCCUCUGUUUCUUAGAAGUUUGAAUUUGGGAGAAAGGUUGACAAUCUGGGGGAAAAAAAAGACGAAGCGAAAGGAACAGCAUGCUCAGGAGGGCACACACCACGCCAGUUCCCUUGCUUCUAAUGGUUAUCACGUACCAACCCAAGUGGCUGCCGCCUUAUUAAUCAUCAUAUUCAUGAAAAGCUCUACUACUAUGAGAAGUAGAACCCUGUGCCCAUCCUCCACAGCACAGCAGUCUUGGCUGAUGAUGUAAGUGUGCCUUUCGGAGCUCCCUGCCACCCGGCUCCCUUGGGCCCGGUCCUGAGCAGAGCUCUUCCUGGCGCAGACACAAGUGUGAGAUCCUGGGAGUGAAAACCAGAAGCCGCUGCAAAUGUUUCCAAAAGUCCUGUCACCGAGGACCUUAUGCGGAUACUGUGCUGAUUUGCAUUCACUCUCCUGCUCAAAAAAUUGUGCGUGGGGAUGUCCUCUGUUCUACCUGGGUGGCUACAGUAGCAGAAGUCUGAGGCUAGAACUCUCUGGGCAGAGAGAAACUGUCAGCUACUAGUGUUCUGAGAAAGGCACAGGCAGGAGGAAUGCUUUGGAGAA